rnacentral:rRNA from 1 species
UUCAUACGUAAUAACGUGAGACUGCGGACGGCUCAGUAUAUCAGUGAUUAUCUGUUUGAUUGUAUAUCCCAAUGGAUAACCGUGGGAAAUCUAGAGCUAAUACAUGUAGUUAAUUGGCGUGCUCUCGGGUGCGUCAAAGCAUUUAUUAGAUUAAACCUUCUACUACUCUGUAGUAAGACGAAUCUAGAUAACUUUGCUGAUCGUAUGGCCUCGUGCCGGCGACGUUUCAAUUGAGUUUCUGCCCUAUCAACUUGUUGGUAAGGUAUUGGCUUACCAAGGUUGCAACGGGUAACGGGGAAUCAGGGUUCGAUUCCGGAGAAGGUGCCUGAGAAACGGCAACUACAUCCAAGGAAGGCAACAGGCGCGCAAAUUACCCAAUCUAGACAGUAGGAGGUGGUGAAGAGAAUUACUGGGUGGUGGUUCAAUGAACUACCAACUCGGAAUGGACGUAACUUAAGCAAUUCGUUGAUAAACAACUGGAGGGCAAGUCCUGGUGCCAGCAGCCGCGGUAAUUCCAGCUCCAGUAGUUUGCUUUAAAGUUGUUGCGUUUAAAACGCUCGUAGUUGGAUCACGCAACAGUGUGCGGUAAUCUAUUCACUGUACUAGAUUCUUCGGUCGCUCAUCGAAAGAUGACUUUCGUGGUCUGGUUGGUGAUAGAUAUAAAAGCUGACCACUGUUAAUUGCACGUGAAAUGGAUUGUUGACCUUAGGUGAGUCGGUAAUCCUGUUUCGCGGAGUGUGCCUUGAAUAAAACAGAGUGCUUAAAGCAGGUUUACGCUUGUAUGUUAUAGCAUGGAACGAACAAUAGUGUAUACGUGCACGGUUUUCAGUAGUGACAGGCUUAUGGUUUGUCGUUGCUGGAGGCGUGUACAUCACCCACUAAAAUAUGGUCGUUGGUUCCAUAUACGGUGAUGAUUAAAAGGAGCGGUUGGGGGCAUCAGUAUUUGGCCGCGAGAGGUGAAAUUCUUGGACCGGCCAAGGACUAACAAAUGCAAAGGCACUUGUCUAGACCGUUUCCAUUAAUCAAGAACGAAAGUGGGAGGUUCGAAGACGAUCAGAUACCGUCCUAGUUCCCACUGUAAACUAUGCCGACCUGGAAUCGGUUUAGAGAUGCUACAAGCUCUAAAUCGGUUCCCCUGGGAAACCUUAAGUUUUUCGGUUACGGGGAGAGUAUGGUCGCAAGGCUGAAACUUAAAGGAAUUGACGGAAGGGCACCACCAGGGGUGGAGCCUGCGGCUUAAUUUGACUCAACACGGGGAAACUUACCUGGUCCGGACAUCGAUAGGAUACACAGACUGAUAGAUCUUUGUUGAUGCGAUGAGUGGUGGUGCAUGGCCGUUCUUAGUUCGUGGAGUGAUCUGUCAGCUUAAUUGCGGUAACGAACGAGACCACAGUCUCCAUUUAAGGAACAGAAAUAGAUAAUCUAUUGCGGUUACUUGUAGCUACAGUAGGUUGUUGUUGGUUAGAAGUGCGAUUGUAUGGCAACGUUUCAGAGGAGCAAUCUAAUGAGGCGAAGUCGUGCGAUUGAGCUUUUUCCUUUCUGUCGAGCAGUUAUUAGUAUCCACUAGUAGCUGCCUUAUGGAGAGACAACGAGGUAUAUUCAAGCUCGAGGAAGAGUGGCUAUAACAGGUCAGUGAUGCCCUUCGAUGUUCAGGGCUGCACGCGCGCUACAAUGAUAACGACAACGAGUAUCCGCGUCGAAAGACGUAGGUAAUCUAUAAUCGUUAUCGUGAUGGGGAUUGAUCGUUGUAAUUAUCGGUCAUGAAAGAGGAAUCCCUAGUAUGCAUAUUUUAUUAGAAUGUGCAGAUUGAGUCCCUGCCCUUUGUACACACCGCCCGUCGCUACUACCGAGUGAAUGGUGUCAUGAUGCUCUGGGACUGGACGUCUAGCGGAAUUUCGGUUCUGUGUGAUGCUAGAAUCAGUGUAA